AAUAUUUCACAAUGGAGGAAACUCUGAUGCAGCGACGCCGCGUGAGUGAAGAAGGUCUUCGGAUCGUAAAACUCUGUCCUUGGAGAAGAUAAUGACGGUAGCCAAGGAGGAAGCUCCGGCUAACUACGUGCCAGCAGCCGCGGUAAUACGUAGGGGGCUCGAGUUGUCCGGAUUUACUGGGGGUAAAGGGUGAGUAGGCGGUUAUGUAUGUCAGAAGUAAAAGACGUGGGCUUAACGUACGUUAGCAUUUGAAACUGCAUAACUUGAGUGCGGGAGAGGUAAGUGGAAUUCCUAGUGUAGCGGUGAAAUGCGUAGAUAAUAGGAGGAACACCAGUGGCGAAGGCGACUUACUGGACCGUAACUGACGCUGAGUCACGAAGGCGUGGGUAGCAAACAGG
rnacentral:rRNA from 1 species